rnacentral:lncRNA from 1 species
UUUGGUCCAGUGCAAUUUCAUUUUCUUCUACAGUGAAUGAAAAAUGGAGUGAAAUAGUGAUUUGAAAUUGUCGAAGUUGACUAUGAAUGAUGAUAGUUGAUUCCUCACCAGCUUCGAAACGGCGAAAAUUCAUGACCUUCAACCUCAUGAACCAUGAAUAUGUAAACGUAGAUAUAUUUUCAUGCAUCUACAGAAACGAGAACAUACCUUAUAUGGAGCUAAAGGAAGACGAACCCAGCUAGAUUUUCAUCUACAAACAAAGGAAAACUACGUACCUUAAAUAAAUAGUAAGAAAAUAAAAAAAGAAAUACACAAAAAAGAAAAAUUAUAAGAAGAACAUACCCAAAAUAAUUGUUGCAACUUCUA